rnacentral:rRNA from 1 species
AUGCAUCCCAAGGCUCGCAUCCACGCGGACCCGGCGGCUCCGGAGCUAGACCGGAUCGACUGCCUGCCGGACUCGCUCGUCCUGCUCAUCCUCAACAAGCUGGAGGACGUGCACUCGCUCGGCCGCUGCGCCGCCGUGUCCAAGCGCUUCAACGACCUGGUCCCGCUCGUCCACGACGUGUACGUCAAGAUCGACCGCGUCGUCGCCGUGGACGGCGACCCCGACGACGCGCUCAACCUGUCGUCCGCCAAGCCCCGGCACAUCUUCUCCCACCUCUUCAAGCUCAUGCUCUUCACCAUCGCCAAGCCGUUUCACGGCAUGCGCGGCCCGGGCGGCGCGGGCGGCAGGCCUCUGUUCCCGCGGCUCGCGCAGCACUCGCCCGUGCAGGUGCUGAGGGGCUUCUCCCACGUCCGGAACCUCCGGGUGGAGCUCCCCUCGGGGGACGUCGGGACGGAGGAGGGCGUCCUGCUCAAGUGGCGGGCCAGGUAUGGCAGCACGCUCCAGAGCUGCGUGAUCCUUGGCGGCACCCUGGUCGACCGCAAGCCCGCCGGGCACGAGCCGUCGGCGGAGGACGGCGGGAGCAUGCCGGAGUCCUUCUACACCAACGGCGGGCUGAAGCUCCGCGUGGUGUGGACCAUCAGCUCCCUGAUCGCCGCGUCGACGCGGCACUACCUCCUCCGGUCGAUCAUCAAGGAGCAUCCGACGCUGCGAAGCCUGGUGUUGGCGGACGCCGACGGGCAGGGGACGCUGUGCAUGGGGGCGGAGCAGCUCGCGGAGUUCAGGGAGAACCGGCUGUCGGCCUCGGCGUGCUCCAACAGGACGCAGGUCCCGGCGUGCAGCAUGAAGCUCAAGUACGCGCCGUACCUCGAGCUGCCCGGCGGCCUGGGGCUGCAGGGCGCGACCCUGGUCGUCAUCAAGCCCUCCGGCGAUGGGGCUGGUGGCUGUCACGUUGGCCGGAAGGAGACUGAUGCUUUUGUCUCGGGCGCGUUCGAUGGGCCUUUCAGGUUCGCGGCCAAGGCGCUGAUGAAGCGGCGCACCUAUCUGCUGGAGAUGAACGGGUUCUAG